ACAAGGUUGAACAAACUUACAUAAAGAUGAUUAUCUUUUUUUUUAAGAAAGGAAAUGGGUGAGUCCUUGAACCAAUUUUUCGAUGUCUUUGGAAGCUCUAGGUAUUUGUUUUUUCUAAACAUAUUCUUUGGAGAAGCCUGGAGAGAAAAGGAAAGUGGUCCAAGUGCACACAGAUUGUAAAUCCACAGCUCCCAUCAACAGCAGCAAAGAAAUCAUCUUGACUCAAGCAGGCCACCUCUGAGAUAGGAAAUGAAGCCUCAGGGGAACAUAGGGAAUGAAAGUCCCUGAGUCAGAAUGACACGCUGCUUCCAGGAGACACACAAAAUGGCACUGAGUCCUGUCUUCCCCCAAGGGGGACGUUUUCUAAAUGGCAGCAAAGUAGAUAUUGCGCUGGGCAAUCAAUCAAGUCACUGGGGAAGUUCAGCUCAAUUGAGCCUUGAGGUAAGAAGACACCUCAGGAGCAUGAUUUGUGUCUGCUGGUUCAGGUGAGGCUUAGCGGUGGUCAGAAGGCAAAUACGAAGAAGCAAUUGAACCAAGCUGCCUACCAGCGAGAGAGGGAGAGCAAAGCCUUUGGACCACCGUGAAAAGAUGAAGGUCCAGUGGAAGAAUCAAUGUUGCUACCGGAGCUAUUGAGAGUGCUUUGUGGACACAUCUCUUGAGAGCGUGAAGAGAGAGUAAGCAAAGCCCAGGCUUUCUUCCCACUGAUAUUGUUUGGAAACUUUUGUUAGCUGUAUUUCUCUCCUCCAUUUAAAAUAUGUUAUAUUUUCUUAUCCAGAGAUCUGAGUUGAUGAAUAUUUCACUCUAAAUCAGUGGUUCUCAUUGCUGGCUGCCCAGGAAAAUCACCUGAGAAGCUUCUAAAAUGC
rnacentral:lncRNA from 1 species